rnacentral:misc_RNA from 1 species
GAAAUGCGAUAAGUAAUGUGAAUUGCAGAAUUCAGUGAAUCAUCGAAUCUUUGAACGCACCUUGCGCUCCUUGGUAUUCCUUGGAGCAUGCCUGUUUGAGUAUCAUGAAAUCUUCAAAGUAAAUCUUUUGUUAACUCAAUUGGUUUCUACUUUGGUAUUGGAGGUCUUUGCAGCUUCACACCUGCUCCUCUUUGUUCAUUAGCUGGAUCUCAGUGUUAUGCUUGGUUCCACUCGGCGUGAUAAGUUAUCUAUCGCUGAGGACACUGUAAAAGGUGGCCAAGGUAAAUGCAGAUGAACCGCUUCUAAUAGUCCAUUGAAUUGGACAAUACUUUUAUGAUCUGAUCUCAAAUCAGGUAGGACUACCCGCUGAACUUAAG